rnacentral:SRP_RNA from 1 species
UCGUGCUAGCUGGGGAGACAGCGGUGCCUUGUAACCCGCAAUCCGCUACAGCGGGGGUGAACUCCGGACCGAGGCUGCGUACAGUUUUGAUUGGUCUAUACGGACAGUGUUGAAGGCGCGGUCUCGCGCAAGCCGCAGCGGUGAACCGGGUCAGGGGAGAGAUUCAGCAGCCCUAAGCCGUGCCGCGGUUGUGCCGCGAGGGUGCCGCGCCCGAGCUGUUUGUAUAGGUGCCGGGAAGUGUAUGUCAGUCGAAGUCCGGUGCGCGG